rnacentral:lncRNA from 10 species
AGCAGCCUGCCUGUCCCAGGAAAGCAGGAGUCACAGGACACAACUGGACCCAGGUGAGGACACUGAAGAUUAUAGGAGAAAGAAGGGCUUCAUGCAAAACCACGUUCCUGAUUGUUGGCAGAACCAAGCCGACAACCUGGAACUCAAGUUUCUCUACUUAUAGUAGACGCUCAAAGAAUUAUAAUACUUUAUAACAACGUCAUAAUCAUUUGACGUUUCUAAGCUGGUCAUGUUUUCUUUCAUGUGUACUUCUCCC